AGAGUUUGAUCCUGGCUCAGGACGAACGCUGGCGGCGUGCUUAACACAUGCAAGUCGAACGGAAAGGCCCUUCGGGGUACUCGAGUGGCGAACGGGUGAGUAACACGUGGGUGAUCUGCCCUGCACUUUGGGAUAAGCCUGGGAAACUGGGUCUAAUACCGAAUAUGACCAUGCGCCUCCUGGUGUGUGGUGGAAAGCUUUUGCGGUGUGGGAUGGGCCCGCGGCCUAUCAGCUUGUUGGUGGGGUAAUGGCCUACCAAGGCGACGACGGGUAGCCGGCCUGAGAGGGUGACCGGCCACACUGGGACUGAGAUACGGCCCAGACUCCUACGGGAGGCAGCAGUGGGGAAUAUUGCACAAUGGGCGCAAGCCUGAUGCAGCGACGCCGCGUGAGGGAUGACGGCCUUCGGGUUGUAAACCUCUUUCAGCACAGACGAAGCGCAAGUGACGGUAUGUGCAGAAGAAGGACCGGCCAACUACGUGCCAGCAGCCGCGGUAAUACGUAGGGUCCGAGCGUUGUCCGGAAUUACUGGGCGCAAAGAGCUCGUAGGUGGUUUGUCGCGUUGUUCGUGAAAACUCACAGCCUAACUGUGGGCGUGCGGGCGAUACGGGCAGACUUGAGUACUGCAGGGGAGACUGGAAUUCCUGGUGUAGCGGUGGAAUGCGCAGAUAUCAGGAGGAACACCGGUGGCGAAGGCGGGUCUCUGGGCAGUAACUGACGCUGAGGAGCGAAAGCGUGGGGAGCGAACAGGAUUAGAUACCCUGGUAGUCC
rnacentral:rRNA from 1 species